rnacentral:sRNA from 1 species
CAACACAACAUACACGCAAUAGCAAACAC